rnacentral:rRNA from 1 species
UACAGAGGCCCCAAGCGUUAGGCGGAAUCACUGGGCUUAAAGCGUGUGUAGGCGGGAUGGUAAGUACUUUGUGAAAUCCCACGGCUCAACCGUGGAAUUGCUUGGUAUACUGCCGUUCUUGAGUCAUUUAGGGGCAGCCGGAACAGAUGGUGGAGCGGUGAAAUGCGUAGAUAUCUGGAGGAACACCGGUGGCGAAGGCGGCAUCCUGGACCAACACUGACACUGAGGAGCGAAAGCCAGGGAGCAAACGGG